rnacentral:rRNA from 1 species
AUGGACGCCGCCGGCGGCAACGGAAGCAGCAGCAGCGUGAUGUGCCAGCUGGUGAGCGCGGAGGGGGAGCAGCUGGGCGCGGCGCUCUACCUGCCGCACAACGUCGGACCGCCGCAGCUCCAGGACAUCGUCAACCAACUACUACACAACGAGGACAAGCUGCCCUACGCCUUCUACGUCGGCGACGAGGAGCUCUCCGUCCAGCUCGGCGCCUUCAUGCAACGCAACAACGCCACCGCGGAGGUCACCCUGCGCAUCGUCUACCAGCCGCAGGCCGUCUUCCGCAUCAGGCCCGUCAACCGAUGCUCAGCCACAAUCGCAGGCCACACCGAGGCUGUAUUGGCCGUUUCUUUCAGCCCCGACGGGAGAUGCUUGGCUAGUGGUUCAGGCGACACCACUGUUCGCUUCUGGGACCUCAGCACACAGACCCCAUUGUACACAUGCAAAGGCCACAAGAAUUGGGUUCUCUGCAUUGCAUGGUCACCUGAUGGGAAACAUCUUGUUAGUGGAAGCAAGUCAGGAGAGCUUAUAUUAUGGGACCCCAAAACAGGCAAUCAAUUGGGCACUCCUCUUACGGGACAUAGAAAGUGGAUUACUGCUGUAUCUUGGGAGCCAGUUCAUUUGCAAUCUCCUUCCCGUCGUUUUGUAAGUGCAAGUAAAGAUGGCGAUGCACGAAUUUGGGACAUUACCACAAAGAAGUGUGUUAUUUCCCUUUCAGGUCACACCAAUGCUGUGACCUGUGUCAAGUGGGGUGGAGACGGUUUGAUAUAUACAGGUUCUGAAGAUUGUUUAAUCAAAGUAUGGGAAACUACUCAGGGCAAGUUGGUCAAAACACUGCAGGGUCAUGGGCACUGGGUAAAUUCGCUUGCCUUGAGCACAGAAUAUGUUCUCCGCACUGGGGCAUAUGACCAUACCGGCAAGACAUUUUCAAGUCCAGAGGAAAUGAAAGAGGCAGCUCUUGCAAGAUAUGAGAAGAUGAGGGGUAAUGCUCCUGAGAGGCUGGUCUCUGGUUCAGAUGAUUUUACCAUGUUUCUUUGGGAACCAACGAUUAGCAAACAGCCGAAAGCUCGCAUGACUGGUCAUCAGAAGGUGGUGAACCAUGUCUACUUCUCCCCUGACGGGCAGUGGCUGGCGAGUGCCUCCUUUGACAAAUCGGUCAAGCUGUGGAACGGCAUCACGGGCAAAUUCGUCGCAGCUUUCCGAGGGCAUGUCGCGGAUGUGUACCAGAUCAGCUGGUCCGCCGACAGUCGGCUUCUGCUGAGUGGAAGCAAGGAUUCGACCCUAAAGGUGUGGGAUAUCCGGGCGCGCAAGCUGAAGCAGGACCUGCCAGGGCACGCGGACGAGGUGUACGCCGUGGAUUGGAGCCCCGACGGCGAGAAGGUUGUCUCUGGUGGCAAAGACAGGGUCCUAAAGUUGUGGAUGAACUAA